GACGAACCGUGCAAACGUUGUUCGGAAUCACUGGGCUUAAAGGGCGCGUAGGCGGCUCAGCAAGUCGGGGGUGAAAUCUUUCGGCUCAACCGGAAAAGUGCCUUCGAUACUGCGGAGCUCGAGGAAGAUAGGGGCCACGGGAACGACCAGUGGAGUGGUGAAAUGCGUUGAGAUUGGUAGGAACGCCGGUGGCGAAAGCGCGUGGCUGGAUCUUCCCUGACGCUGAGGCGCGAAAGCUAGGGGAGCAAACGGG
rnacentral:rRNA from 1 species